GGGAAGGUGAAGGAGAGAAUGUAUUUUUUUCACUAACUUUUCUUGCAGGUACACUAUGCCUCAAUCCAUCGAAAAUACUCCACUUGGGAGUAAUGUUGUUGUUGUCCAAAGAACUCUCAACGUGUAAGUUAGGAGUGAAGACAACAAGCAGACGGAGAAAAUUUUUCACACACGAUGUCUUGUUAAUGAUAAUGUAUGUGGAAUGAUCAUUAAUAGUGGUAACUAUGCUAAUAUGGCAAGCACUCUAUUCGUGGAAAGAGUAGGGUUGACAUGUAUCAAGCAUCUAAAUCCCUACC
rnacentral:lncRNA from 1 species